CCUACGGGUGGCAGCAGUGGGGAAUAUUGCACAAUGGGGGAAACCCUGAUGCAGCGACGCCGCGUGAGUGAAGAAGGUUUUCGGAUCGUAAAACUCUGUCCUUGGUGAAGAAAAAAAUGACAGUAGCCAAGGAGGAAGCCCCGGCUAACUACGUGCCAGCAGCCGCGGUAAUACGUAGGGGGCGAGCGUUGUCCGGAUUUACUGGGCGUAAAGGGUGAGUAGGCGGUAGUAUGUGUCAGAUGUAAAAGGCUAAGGCUUAACCAUAGUUAGCAUUUGAAACUACAAAGCUUGAGUACAGGAGAGGAGAGUGGAAUUCCUAGUGGAGCGGUGUAAUGCGUAGAUAUUAGGAGGAACACCAGUGGCGAAGGCGACUCUCUGGACUGUUACUGACGCUGAGGCUCGAAAGCGUGGGGAGCAAACAGGAUUAGAUACCCGGGUAGUC
rnacentral:rRNA from 1 species